rnacentral:rRNA from 1 species
AGUGAACGCUGGCGGUAGGCCUAACACAUGCAAGUCGAACGGCAGCACAGUAAGAGCUUGCUCUUACGGGUGGCGAGUGGCGGACGGGUGAGGAAUACAGCGGAAUCUACUUUUUCGUGGGGGAUAACGUAGGGAAACUUACGCUAAUACCGCAUACGACCUACGGGUGAAAGCAGGGGAUCUUCGGACCUUGCGCGAUUGAAUGAGACGAUGUCGGCUUUGCUAGUUGGCGGGGUAAAGGCCCGCCAAGGCGACGAUCCGUAGCUGGUCUGAGAGGAUGAUCAGCUACCUUGGAACGUAGACACGGCCCAGACUCCUACUGUAGGCAGCAGUGUGGAUUAUUGGACAAUGGGCGCGAGCCUGCUCCAGCCAUACCGCGUGGGUGAUGAAGGCCUUCGGGUUGUAAAGCCCUUUUGUUGGGAAAGAACAGCAGCAGGUUAAUACACCGCUGUUCUGACGGUACCCUAAGAAUAAGCACCGGCUAACUUCGUG